CUCGGGAAACCGGAGCUAAUACCGGAUAAGAUAUCGAACCGCAUGGUUCGAUAGUGAAAGAUGGUUUUGCUAUCACUUAUAGAUGGACCCGCGCCGUAUUAGCUAGUUGGUGAGGUAACGGCUCACCAAGGCAACGAUACGUAGCCGACCUGAGAGGGUGAUCGGCCACACUGGAACUGAGACACGGUCCAGACUCCUACGGGAGGCAGCAGGA
rnacentral:rRNA from 1 species